UCCACACAAUUGAGUCAGCCGAAUUGAAACGAUGUGUUGCUGGAAACAUUGCAUGUCUCUAUCAGUCAAACAAAUAAAUAAAACAUUCCAUAUCUUACUGUUAUAUUCUGUUCCUAAGAAGAAAAUCAAAUGAGAACUUUCCAUUGAAGUGUUGUUCUAUUUUUCCAAUUCCAUUCAAUUCAAACGCCAACUACGUAAACCAUUUCCCUGUUUCAAUAUAACCAAUUAACCAUAGAAUCGAGUGCUAUGAUUGCUUUUAAGAUGGCAUUUUAUUAAUAGUGUUUUAAAUAGUAAAUUAAAAAAAAACACUCAUAACCCAAAAAUAUGCAGCAGCAGUAAUAUUUUAAUUUAAUCUCACAGUAAUAUAUGCAACAACAACCGUUAUAUUUUUAUAUAAAAAAAAUUAACUUAUAACCUAAAAUAUGUAGCAGCAGAUUACUUUAAUCCCACAAUCAUAUAUACAGCAACAGUUAUCUCGGGACAAACCUGGGAGAUGCAAAAAAGUAUAGGUUAAGACUGAAGAGAACGGAGCGCCGCCGGCCAGAAGGAACACCACUUACGGAGCGAGCGGAGAUUGUGAGGGAUUUGCCCAUCCUAAAAAAGUUCGAUGAACUGAUGAAGAAGAAGAAUGGAGAUAGAGAUUUUAAUUUAGAAGGUUUGAAUGAACCAAUGAAGAAGAAUAAGAAGAAUGAAGGGUUUAAUAUAAAGAUUUUUUAAGAAGCGGGGGAUUUAAUUUAGGAAUUUUUGAAGGAGAAGCAUGAAUUUGGGGGUCUGAAUGGAUUAAGGGUUUGAUUUGGGAAAUUUUGAGAAAAUUGUGGGGCUUGCCGACCGGGGGAAUAGGGUAAAAGAGUUGGGGUUAAUACAAUAUAAAUUUAAAAUUUAAAAUAAUAUAAAUUAAUAUUCGAUUUAUUUAAAUUAUACUCGAAAAAAAAUUUAACUGAUUUAAUUAAUUUAAUUUGAAUAAUUUGAAUUUUGAAUUUUUUUUAGGAUGAAUUGAGUUGUG
rnacentral:lncRNA from 1 species